GGAAGGGCAGCAAUCCCCUUAGAAUUUUGCCAGUAACGGACAUGGCUGCAGCCCCUGGCGGAGGGGACGUGAAGUGAGGAGGGGGGCUGGGAGGGGAGAGGAUGCGGGCGAGGAAGACGCGCCUCUGGGCCUGGAAUCGUUUUAAGCCUUCUCAGAAGCAACCAUAGCAUCACCAUAUUUGCCAUCAUAUAAAUCGAUUUCUGCCCUAAGCCCUCGUUCCUCCACCGCACACCCUAAAGCCCAGUUCUCACAGUCCCUUGUUUGCUACGGUGUGAGCCCCUACCCCGUGGCCAGUGCCACACUUGAGUAAAAUCCUGUUCUCCUUUCAUUGCUGACCUAUGAACUCUAGCUUCCUCACUGGUUCCUUGUCAGAGCUGCACACAGGAAGCUGAUGGAUACCCGGGAGUAAUGUAUGGACGAGGGAAGUUAAGCAGAAAGCAUCCGCUUAGAAGAACCAGCCUCCAAAUAAUUGAGAGUUAACUGCCCUUGAACCCUCUUCCCCACUCACCCCGCCAUGCCCCUUACUUCAGAAGAUUAGACCAGGAGACUGGACUGGGCAGUGAAAUGGAAGAAAACAGAAAGCACUUCACAUUUCUAUUUUGAGAAGUUGCUAGGGAGUGCCAGCUUCUAGUGUGGAGAAUCAGUCUUUUGGAAAUCUUAACUCCUGUAGAAUUAAUGAGCAGUGAAGGUGACAAUCCUCUGGUUCCUCCCUGUUAACUUUUCCUCUAAAUUGGGCUCCAGAAACAGAUUCUGUGUGGAGAGGGGGGAGCAGUAAUAAAAUGCUGCCUACACCCAAGGCUUUAUUUAACCCAACCUGAUGAGUCAGAUCUGAG
rnacentral:lncRNA from 1 species